AAACCAUUCUCCUGAUUCAGCCUCCUGAGUAGCUGGGAUUACAGGUGCACACCACCACGCCCAGCCUCCAAACAAUCGCAUGGCAGCAGUGGCGGUGAGGAUCCGCAGGAGCCUAGAACUCUGAGGGAGAGGAACUUCCUCUGAUCAGAAUGUAUGGUGCUAAGAGGGCAAGGCAAACCUCCAUUGCUUUUUCUCUCUGCUGCAAGGCCCCACCUGUGAACAGAUACAGGAAGUGCAUCGUAGAGCAGGGAAAUAAAGCCCUGGAUUUCUGGCCAGAGAAUCAAAAAGAGGAGUCCCAGGGAACCAGAAAGUAUCAGAAUGACCAGAAAGGAAGAGGACAAGAAGAUGACCCCAUACCGUUUUAUGAGCUCCUGGGAUCACUUCCCAGUUGUACAUUGCGUGGAUCUGACCCUAAACCACAAACCACCAGCACAACUGCACCAAGAGAUAGACCAUCCAUCACACAGGCCCCAGACCGGCCACCGGGUGGCACAUGUCUGCAGAAGAUGUGAAUAGCACUGUAAAGGUUUUGAAAUGAGAAUUGAUGUUGAAAGCACAGUCCACAGUAGGUUAAUGAGAACUUGUGGUUGAACCAAGCCAGGUAGAUUACCUACUAAAAAAGAAACAUUAACACUUCCCACAGGUUUUAAACAAGAUCCAGAGUCUCAUAAUAUUCAAAAUUUCUGGGAUAAAACUCAAAAUUAACUGGCAUUUGAAGAACCUGGAAAUCUCAA